UACGUAGGGUGCGAGCGUUAAUCGGAAUUACUGGGCGUAAAGCGUGCGCAGGCGGUUUUGUAAGCCAGAUGUGAAAUCCCCGGGCUUAACCUGGGAAUGGCAUUUGGGACUGCAAGGCUGGAGUUUGGCAGAGGAGACUGGAAUUCCCGGUGUAGCAGUGAAAUGCGUAGAUAUCGGGAGGAAUACCGAUGGCGAAUGCAGGUCUCUGGGCUAUAACUGACGCUCAUGCACGAAAGCGUGGGGAGCAAACAGG
rnacentral:rRNA from 1 species